GAAAUCAGUUCAGCACUAAGUCACUUUGUCUAUAUGGCAAAUGUGAGAUGCAGUGUAUGGAACAUCAAUAUUCUAGUAUGAGAAAUUAACGAUUUAAGUCCUUCUUAAAUGAGGCCAUUUACCCAUAGAGGGUGCCAGGCCCGUAUAACGUUAAUGAUUAUUAGAUGGUGUUUCCAAAGAGUCGUGUUGCUUGAUAGUGCAGCACUAAGUGGGUGGUAAACUCCAUCUAAAACUAAAUAUAACCAUGAGACCGAUAGUAAACAAGUACCGUGAGGGAAAGUUGAAAAGAACUCUGAAUAGAGAGUUAAAUAGUACGUGAAACUGCUUAGAGGUUAAGCCCGAUGAACCUGAAUAUCCGUUAUGGAAAAUUCAUCAUUAGAGUUGUAAUAUUUAAACAAUAUUAUAAUAAUAGUGUGCAUUUUUUCCAUAUAAGGACAUUGUAAUCUAUUAGUAUCAAUAAUUUAUCAAAAAAUUUAAGAAAAUAGUUUAUUUAAAUUAGAAUGCUUGCAUUUUAACAUAAAAUAAAUUUCAUAAAUUUGAUAAAGUGCUGAUAGAUUUAUAUGAAUACAGUGCGUUAAUUUUUCGGAAUUAUAUAAUGGCAUGAUUAUCAUUGAUUUUUAUGUUUAUUAUAUGCACUUGUAUGAUUAACAAUGCGAAAGA
rnacentral:rRNA from 1 species